GAUGAACGCUGGCGGCGUGCCUAAUACAUGCAAGUCGAGCGAACAGAUAAGGAGCUUGCUCCUUUGACGUUAGCGGCGGACGGGUGAGUAACACGUGGGUAACCUACCUAUAAGACUGGGAUAACUUCGGGAAACCGGAGCUAAUACCGGAUAACAUUUGGAACCGCAUGGUUCUAAAGUGAAAGAUGGUUUUGCUAUCACUUAUAGAUGGACCCGCGCCGUAUUAGCUAGUUGGUAAGGUAACGGCUUACCAAGGCGACGAUACGUAGCCGACCUGAGAGGGUGAUCGGCCACACUGGAACUGAGACACGGUCCAGACUCCUACGGGAGGCAGCAGUAGGGAAUCUUCCGCAAAGGGCGAAAGCCUGACGGAGCAACGCCGCGUGAGUGAUGAAGGGUUUCGGCUCGUAAAACUCUGUUAUUAGGGAAGAACAAAUGUGUAAGUAACUGUGCACGCCUUGACGGUACCUAAUCAGAAAGCCACGGCUAACUACGUG
rnacentral:rRNA from 1 species